GAGUAAGGCAUGCUUGCGGUUCAUACAGGGUGAAUAAAUACCACGCUGUGAUGGCAGGAAUGUUCUGGCAGUCUGACUAGUAGGACAUUCUUGUCCAGGCGGGAUGAUAUUUAUUCAUUGUACAACUGCACACCAGAAGCAUCUACACUCUCCCUGUGACUUCAGCUCUGCAUAUAUACACUGUGAACAUCAAAUACUAUACAGACUUCUGUUUGCCUGAUUUUAAUGACUACAGCUGAAGACACUGGAGCUUAAAUACCACAUGAAGUCACCAAAUAUUUACUG